rnacentral:rRNA from 1 species
CCUACGGGAGGCAGCAGUGAGGAAUAUUGGACAAUGGGCGCAAGCCUGAUCCAGCCAUGCCGCGUGCAGGAAGACGGUCCUAUGGAUUGUAAACUGCUUUUGUACGGGAAGAAACACUCCUACGUGUAGGAGCUUGACGGUACCGUAAGAAUAAGGAUCGGCUAACUCCGUGCCAGCAGCCGCGGUAAUACGGAGGAUCCAAGCGUUAUCCGGAAUCAUUGGGUUUAAAGGGUCCGUAGGCGGUUUAGUAAGUCAGUGGUGAAAGCCCAUCGCUCAACGAUGGAACGGCCAUUGAUACUGCUAGACUUGAAUUACUAGGAAGUAACUAGAAUAUGUAGUGUAGCGGUGAAAUGCUUAGAUAUUACAUGGAAUACCAAUUGCGAAGGCAGGUUACUACUAGUGGAUUGACGCUGAUGGACGAAAGCGUGGGGAGCGAACAGGAUUAGAUACCCUGGUAGUCCACGCCGUAAACGAUGGAUACUAGCUGUUCGGGGCAACCUGAGUGGCUAAGCGAAAGUGAUAAGUAUACCACCUGGGGAGUACGUUCGCAGAAUGAAACUCAAAGGAAUUAGACGG